UACGUAGGGUGCGAGCGUUAAUCGGAAUUACUGGGCGUAAAGCGUGCGCAGGCGGUUUGUUAAGACAGAUGUGAAAUCCCCGGGCUUAACCUGGGAACUGCAUUUGUGACUGGCAAGCUAGAGUACUGGCAGAGGGGGGUAGAAUUCCACGUGUAGCAGUGAAAUGCGUAGAGAUGUGGAGGAAUACCGAUGGCGAAGGCAGCCCCCUG
rnacentral:rRNA from 1 species